GAUGAACGCUGGCGGCGUGCCUAAUACAUGCAAGUAGAACGCUGAAGCUUGGUGCUUGCACCGAGCGGAUGAGUUGCGAACGGGUGAGUAACGCGUAGGUAACCUGCCUGGUAGCGGGGGAUAACUAUUGGAAACGAUAGCUAAUACCGCAUAACAGUAGAUAUUGCAUGAAAUCUGCUUGAAAGGUGCAAAUGCAUCACUACCAGAUGGACCUGCGUUGUAUUAGCUAGUUGGUGAGGUAACGGCUCACCAAGGCGACGAUACAUAGCCGACCUGAGAGGGUGAUCGGCCACACUGGGACUGAGACACGGCCCAGACUCCUACGGGAGGCAGCAGUAGGGAAUCUUCGGCAAUGGGGGGAACCCUGACCGAGCAACGCCGCGUGAGUGAAGAAGGUUUUCGGAUCGUAAAGCUCUGUUGUAAGAGAAGAACGAGUGUGAGAGUGGAAAGUUCACACUGUGACGGUAUCUUACCAGAAAGGGACGGCUAACUACGUG
rnacentral:rRNA from 1 species